UGGGGAAUAUUGGACAAUGGGCGCAAGCCUGAUCCAGCCAUGCCGCGUGAGUGAUGAAGGCCUUAGGGUUGUAAAGCUCUUUUGUCCGGGAAGAUAAUGACCGUACCGGAAGAAUAAGCUCCGGCUAACUUCGUGUCAGCAGCCGCGGUAAUACGAAGGGAGCUAGCGUUGUUCGGAAUUACUGGGCGUAAAGCGCAUGCAGGCGGAUCGUUAAGUCGAGGGUGAAAUCCCAGGGCUCAACCCUGGAACUGCCUUCGAUACUGGCGACCUUGAGUCCGGGAGAGGUGAGUGGAACUCCGAGUGUAGAGGUGAAAUUCGUAGAUAUUCGGAAGAACACCAGUGGCGAAGGCGGCUCACUGGCCCGGUACUGACGCUGAGAUGCGAAAGCGUGGGGAGCAAACA
rnacentral:rRNA from 1 species